AGGGUUAGGGUUGGAGCUAGGGUUAGGGUUAGGGUUAGGGUUGGAACUAGGGUUAGGUCUAGGGUUAGGGUUGGAGCUAGGGUUAGGGUUAGGGUUAGGGUUGGAGUUAGGGUUAGGGUUAGGGUUGGAGUUAGGGUUGGAGCUAGGGUUAGGGUUGGAGCUAGGGUUAGGGUUAGGGUUAGGGUUGGAGUUGGAGUUAGGGUUGGAGCUAGGGUUAGGGUUAGGGUUAGGGUUGGAGCUAGGGUUAGGGUUAGGGUUGGAGUUAGGGUUGGAGCUAGGGUUUGGGUUAGGGUUAGGGUUGGAGCUAGGGUUAGAGUUAGGGUUGGAGUUAGGGUUGGAGUUAGGGUUGGAGCUAGGGUUAGGGUUGGAGUUAGGGUUGGGGUUAGGGUUAGGGUUGGAGUUAGGGUUGGAGCUAGGGUUAGGGUUAGGGUUGGCGCUUGGGUUAGGGUUAGGGUUAGUGUUGGAGUUAGGGUUGCAGCUAGGGUUAGGGUUGGAGCUAGGGUUAGGGUUAGGGUUGGAGUUAGGGUUAGGGUUAGGGUUAGGGUUUGAGUUAGGGUUAGGGUUGGAGCUAGGGUUAGGGUAAGGGUUAGGGUUGGAGCUAGGGUUAGGGUUAGGGUUAGGGUUUGAGCUAGGGUUAGGGUUAGGGUUAGGGUUAGGGUUAGGGUUAGGGUUAGGGUUAGGGUUGGAGUUAGGGUUGCAGCUAGGGUUAGGGUUAGGGUUAGGGUUGGAGCCAGGAUUAAGGUUAGGGUUAGGGUUGGAGUUAGGGUUAGGGUUAGGGUUGGAGCUAGGGUUAGGGUUAGGGUUAGGGUUGGAGCUAGGGUUAGGGUUAGGGUUAGGGUUAGGGUUUGAGUUAGGAUAUAGGGGUAUGUGCCACUUUUGACAUGCCGGUUCAUUGCCUUUCCCAUUGAUGAACCGGGCUGAGAUUUGGUCUACCCCCCAUUUUCGGGUAUGCUGAAUCUAGAAAUAGUAAUGAACCAGCGAUCGGACAUUCCUAUCAAAAGUUAUGGCGAAGUGAAAAUUUCCCAUUGAAAAUGAAUGGGAGCGGAAAAAUGGCCAAAGUCAGUGUUUGCAAGUGUUGUACUUGUCUGGAAAUGUUGAAAAUGCAUUGUGAGCACGUUUCAGGCCAUUUCCUGUCAUUUGAGGGCGACUUUGCAAAAAGGGGUGUCAUACCGCUUUUGACCAGAGGUGGCGCUGAAACCAGUUCGAGGGUUAGGGUUAGGGUGAGACUUAGGGCUAGGGGUUAGGGUUAGGGCUGGAGCUAUGGUUAGGGUUAGGGUUAGGGUUAAGGUUGGAACUAGGGUUAGGGUUAAGGUUAGGGUUUGAAAAAUCUUCCACCCCCAACAUGCAAGUUUCAGCGCUCUACGACCUACAAAAUGCAUAUAGCUAUCCCUAACCCUAACCCUAACUCCAACCCUAACCCUAACCCUAGCUCCAACCCUAACCCUAACCCUAACCCUAGCUGCAACCCUAACUCCAACCCUAACCCUAACCCUAACCCUAGCUCCAACCCUUACCCUAACCCUAGCUCCAACCCUAACUCCAACCCUAACCCUAACCCUAACCCUCGCUCCAACCCUAACUCCAACCCUAACCCUAACCCUAACCCUAGCUCCAACCCAAACCCAAACCCUAACCCUAGCUCCAACCCUAACUCCAACCCUAACCCUAACGCUAACUCCAACCCUUACCCUAACCCUAACUCCAACACUAACCCUAACCCCAACCCUUGCUCCAACCCUAACCCUAACCCUAAACAUAGCUCCAACCCUAACCCUAACCCUAGCUCAAACCCUAACUCCAACCCUAGCUCCAACCCUAACUCCAACCCUAACCCUAACCCUAACCCUAGCUCCAACCCUAACCCUAACCCUAACCCUAGAUGCAACCCUAACUCUAACCCUAUCCCUAACACUAACCCUAUCUCCUACCCUAACCCUAACCCUAGCUCCAACCCUAACCCUAACCCUAGCUGCAACCCUAACUCCAACCCUAACCCUUACCCUAACCCUAGCUCCAACCCUAACCCUAACCCUAACUCCAACCCUAACCCUAACCCUAACCCUAGCUCCAACCCUAACCCUAACCCUAGCUCAACCCUAACCCUAACCCUAACCCUAGCUGCAACCCUAACCCUAACCCUAACCCUUGCUCCAACCCUAAACCUAACCCUAACCCUAGCUGCAACCCUUACUCCAACCUUAACCCUAACCCUAACCCUAGCUCCAACCCUAACCCUAACCCUAACCCUAGCUCCCACCCUAACUCCAACCCUAACCCUAACCCUAACCCUAGCUCCAACCCUAUCCCUAACCCUAACCCUUGCUCCAACCCUAACCCUAACCCUAACCCUAGCUGCAACCCUAACUCCAACUCUAACCCUAACCCUAACUCCAACCCUAACCCUAACCCUAACCCUAGCUCCAACCCUAACUCCAACCCUAACCCUAACCCUAGCUCCAACACGAACCCUUACCCUAACCCUAGCUCCAACCCUAACCCUAACUCCAACCCUAACCCUAACCCUAACCCUAACUCCAACCCUAACCCUUACUUUAACUCCAACCCUAACCCUAACCCUAACCCUAGCUCCAACCCUAACCCUAACCCUAGCUCAACCCUAACCCUAACCCUAACCCUAGCUGCAACCAUAACUCCAACCAUAACCCUAACCCUAACCCUAACUCCAACCCUAACCCUAACUCCAACCCUAACCCUAACCCUAACCCUAGCUCCAACCCUAACUCCAACCCUAACCCUAACCCUAGCUCCAACCCUAACCCUAAUCCUAGCUCCAACCCUAACCCUAACUCCAACCCUAACCCUAACCCUAACCCUAACUCCAACCCUAACCCUAACCCUAACCCUAACUCCAACCCUAACCCUAACUCCAACCCUAACCCUAACCCUAACCCUAACCCUAGCUCCAACCCUAACCCUAACCCUAACCCUAACCCUAGCUGCAACUCCAACCCUAACCCUAACCCUAACCCUAGCUCCAACCCUAACCCUAACUCCAACCCUAACCCUAACUCUAACCCUAACCCUAACCCUAACCCUAACCCUAACCCUAACCCUAGCUCUAACACUAACCCUAACCCUAACCCUAACCCUAGCUGCAACCCUAACUCCAACCCUAACCCUAACCCUAACCCUAGCUCCAACCCUAACCCUAACUCCAACCCUAACCCUAACCCUAACCCUAACCCUAGCUCCAACCCUAACCCUAACCCUAACCCUAGCUGCAACCCUAACCCCCACACUAACCCUAACCCUAACCCUAGCUCCAACCCUAACCCUAACCCUAUCUCCAACCCUUACUCCAACCCUAACCCUAAUCCUAACCCUGGCUCCAACCCUAACCCUAGCUCCAACCCUAACUCCAACCCUAACCCUAACCCUAACCCUAACCCUAGCUCCAACCCUAACCCUAACCCUAACCCUAGCUCCAACCCUAACUCCAACUCCAACCCUAACCCUAACCCUGACCCUAGCUCCAACCCUGACCCUAACCCUAACCCUGGCUCCAAUCCUAACCCUAACCCUAGCUGCAACCCUAACUAACUAAGGGUUAGGGUUGGAGCUAGGGUUAGGGUUAGGGUUAGGGUUGGAACUAGGGUUAGGUCUAGGGUUAGGGUUGGAGCUAGGGUUAGGGUUAGGGUUAGGGUUGGAGUUAGGGUUAGGGUUAGGGUUGGAGUUAGGGUUGGAGCUAGGGUUAGGGUUGGAGCUAGGGUUAGGGUUAGGGUUAGGGUUGGAGUUGGAGUUAGGGUUGGAGCUAGGGUUAGGGUUAGGGUUAGGGUUGGAGCUAGGGUUAGGGUUAGGGUUGGAGUUAGGGUUGGAGCUAGGGUUUGGGUUAGGGUUAGGGUUGGAGCUAGGGUUAGAGUUAGGGUUGGAGUUAGGGUUGGAGUUAGGGUUGGAGCUAGGGUUAGGGUUGGAGUUAGGGUUGGGGUUAGGGUUAGGGUUGGAGUUAGGGUUGGAGCUAGGGUUAGGGUUAGGGUUGGCGCUUGGGUUAGGGUUAGGGUUAGUGUUGGAGUUAGGGUUGCAGCUAGGGUUAGGGUUGGAGCUAGGGUUAGGGUUAGGGUUGGAGUUAGGGUUAGGGUUAGGGUUAGGGUUUGAGUUAGGGUUAGGGUUGGAGCUAGGGUUAGGGUAAGGGUUAGGGUUGGAGCUAGGGUUAGGGUUAGGGUUAGGGUUUGAGCUAGGGUUAGGGUUAGGGUUAGGGUUAGGGUUGGAGUUAGGGUUAGGGUUAGGGUUAGGGUUGGAGUUAGGGUUGCAGCUAGGGUUAGGGUUAGGGUUAGGGUUGGAGCCAGGAUUAAGGUUAGGGUUAGGGUUGGAGUUAGGGUUAGGGUUAGGGUUGGAGCUAGGGUUAGGGUUAGGGUUAGGGUUGGAGCUAGGGUUAGGGUUAGGGUUAGGGUUAGGGUUUGAGUUAGGAUAUAGGGGUAUGUGCCACUUUUGACAUGCCGGUUCAUUGCCUUUCCCAUUGAUGAACCGGGCUGAGAUUUGGUCUACCCCCCCAUUUUCGGGUAUGCUGAAUCUAGAAAUAGUAAUGAACCAGCGAUCGGACAUUCCUAUCAAAAGUUAUGGCGAAGUGAAAAUUUCCCAUUGAAAAUGAAUGGGAGCGGAAAAAUGGCCAAAGUCAGUGUUUGCAAGUGUUGUACUUGUCUGGAAAUGUUGAAAAUGCAUUGUGAGCACGUUUCAGGCCAUUUCCUGUCAUUUGAGGGCGACUUUGCAAAAAGGGGUGUCAUACCGCAUUUGACCAGAGGUGGCGCUGAAACCAGUUCGAGGGUUAGGGUUAGGGUGAGACUUAGGGCUAGGGGUUAGGGUUAGGGCUGGAGCUAUGGUUAGGGUUAGGGUUAGGGUUAAGGUUGGAACUAGGGUUAGGGUUAAGGUUAGGGUUGGAAAAAUCUUCCACCCCCAACAUGCAAGUUUCAGCGCUCUACGACCUACAAAAUGCAUAUAGCUAUCCCUAACCCUAACCCUAACUCCAACCCUAACCCUAACCCUAGCUCCAACCCUAACCCUAACCCUAACCCUAGCUGCAACCCUAACUCCAACCCUAACCCUAACCCUAACCCUAGCUCCAACCCUUACCCUAACCCUAGCUCCAACCCUAACUCCAACCCUAACCCUAACCCUAACCCUCGCUCCAACCCUAACUCCAACCCUAACCCUAACCCUAACCCUAGCUCCAACCCAAACCCAAACCCUAACCCUAGCUCCAACCCUAACUCCAACCCUAACCCUAACGCUAACUCCAACCCUUACCCUAACCCUAACUCCAACACUAACCCUAACCCCAACCCUUGCUCCAACCCUAACCCUAACCCUAAACAUAGCUCCAACCCUAACCCUAACCCUAGCUCAAACCCUAACUCCAACCCUAGCUCCAACCCUAACUCCAACCCUAACCCUAACCCUAACCCUAACUCCAACCCUAACCCUAACCCUAACCCUAACCCUAACCCUAGAUGCAACCCUAACUCCAACCUUAACCCUAACCCUAGCUCCAACCCUAACCCUAACCCUAGCUGCAACCCUAACUCCAACCCUAACCCUUACCCUAACCCUAGCUCCAACCCUAACCCUAACCCUAACUCCGACCCUAACCCUAACCCUAACCCUAGCUCCAACCCUAACCCUAACCCUAGCUCAACCCUAACCCUAACCCUAACCCUAGCUGCAACCCUAACCCUAACCCUAGCUGCAACCCUAACUCCAACCCUAACCCUUACCCUAACCCUAGCUCCAACCCUAACCCUAACCCUAACUCCGACCCUAACCCUAACCCUAACCCUAGCUCCAACCCUAACCCUAACCCUAGCUCAACCCUAACCCUAACCCUAAGCCUAGCUGCAACCCUAACCCUAACCCUAACCCUUGCUCCAACCCUAAACCUAACCCUUACCCUAGCUGCAACCCUAACUCCAACCUUAACCCUAACCCUAACCCUAGUCCAACCUAACCCUAACCCUAACCCUAGCUCCCACCCUAACUCCAACCCUAACCCUAACCCUAACCCUAUCGCCUACCCUAACCCUAACCCUAGCUCCAACCCUAACCCUAACCCUAGCUGCCACCCUAACUCAACCCUAUCCCUAACACUAACCCUAUCUCCUACCCUAACCCUAACCCUAGCUCCAACCCUAACCCUAACCCUAGCUGCAACCCUAACUCCAACCCUAACCCUUACCCUUACCCUAACCCUAGCUCCAACCCUAACCCUAACCCUAAACCUAGCUCCAACCCUAACCCUAACCCUAACCCUAGCUCCCACCCUAACUCCAACCCUAACCCUAACCCUAACCCUAGCUCCAACCCUAACUCCAACCCUAACCCUAACCCUAGCUCCAACACUAACCCUUACCCUAACCCUAGCUCCAACCCUAACCCUAACUCCAACCCUAACCCUAACCCUAACCCUAGCUCCAACCCUAACCCUAACCCUAGCUCAACCCUAACCCUAACCCUAACCCUAGCUGCAACCAUAACUCCAACCAUAACCCUAACCCUAACCCUAACUCCAACCCUAACCCUAACUCUAGCUCCAACCCUAACCCUAACCCUAACCCUAGCUCCAACCCUAAAUCCAACCCUAACCCUAACCCUAGCUCCAACCCUAACCCUAAUCCUAGCUCCAACCCUAACCCUAACUCCAACCCUAACCCUAACCCUAACCCUAACUCCAACCCUAACCCUAACCCUAACCCUAACUCCAACCCUAACCCUAACUCCAACCCUAACCCUAACCCUAACCCUAGCUCCAACCCUAACCCUAACCCUAACCCUAACCCUAGCUGCAACCCUAACUCCAACCCUAACCCUAACCCUAGCUCCAACCCUAACCCUAACUCCAACCCUAACCCUAACUCCAACCCUAACCCUAACCCUAGCUCCAACCCUAGCUCCAACCCUAACCCUAACCCUAACCCUAGCUGCAACCCUAACCCCCACACUAACCCUAACCCUAACCCUAGCUCCAACCCUAACCCUAACCCUAGCUCCAACCCUGACUCCAACCCUAACCCUAAUCCUAACCCUGGCUCCAACCCUAACCCUAGCUCCAACCCUAACUCCAACCCUAACCCUAACCCUAACCCUAACCCUAGCUCCAACCCUAACCCUAACCCUAACCCUAGCUCCAACCCUAACUCCAACUCCAACCCUAACCCUAACCCUGACCCUAGCUCCAACCCUGACCCUAACCCUAACCCUAACUCCAACCCUAACCCUAACUCUAACCCUAACCCUAACUCCAACCCUAACCCUAACCCUAACCCUAACCCUAGCUCUAACACUAACCCUAACCCUAACCCUAACCCUAGCUGCAACCCUAACUCCAACCCUAACCCUAACCCUAACCCUAGCUCCAACCCUAACCCUAACUCCAACCCUAACCCUAACUCCAACCCUAACCCUAACCCUAGCUCCAACCCUAACCCUAACCCUAACCCUAGCUGCAACCCUAACCCCCACACUAACCCUAACCCUAACCCUAGCUCCAACCCUAACCCUAACCCUAGCUCCAACCCUGACUCCAACCCUAACCCUAAUCCUAACCCUGGCUCCAACCCUAACCCUAGCUCCAACCCUAACUCCAACCCUAACCCUAACCUUAACCCUAACCCUAGCUCCAACCCUAACCCUAACCCUAACCCUAGCUCCAACCCUAACUCCAACUCCAACCCUAACCCUAACCCUGACCCUAGCUCCAACCCUGACCCUAACCCUAACCCUGGCUCCAAUCCUAACCCUAACCCUAGCUGCAACCCUAAC